rnacentral:rRNA from 1 species
UACGUAGGGUGCAAGCGUUGUCCGGAAUUAUUGGGCGUAAAGAGCUCGUAGGCGGUUCGUCGCGUCGGCUGUGAAAUCCCGGAGCUCAACUCCGGGCCUGCAGUCGAUACGGGCGGACUUGAGUGUUGCAGGGGAGACUGGAAUUGCUGGUGUAGCGGUGAAAUGCGCAGAUAUCAGGAGGAACACCGGUGGCGAAGGCGGGUCUCUGGGCAACUACUGACGCUGAGGAGCGAAAGCGUGGGGAGCGAACAGG